rnacentral:rRNA from 1 species
AUUGAACGCUGGCGGAAUGCUUUACACAUGCAAGUCGAGCGGCAGCGCGGGGGCAACCCUGGCGGCGAGCGGCGAACGGGUGAGUAAUACAUCGGAACGUGUCCUUAAGUGGGGGAUAGCUCGGCGAAAGCCGGAUUAAUACCGCAUAAGCUCUGAGGAGGAAAGCGGGGGAUUCGCAAGGACCUCGCGCUGUUGGAGCGGCCGAUGUCGGAUUAGCUAGUUGGUGGGGAAAGGCCCACCAAGGCGACGAUCCGUAGCUGGUCUGAGAGGAUGAUCAGCCACACUGGAACUGAGACACGGUCCAGACUCCUACGGGAGGCAGCAGUGGGGAAUUUUGGACAAUGGGGGCAACCCUGAUCCAGCCAUUCCGCGUGAGUGAAGAAGGCCUU